GGUUAAAUAAGUGUGUUAUCCUUGAAGGUUCUGUUCUGCAUCGUUAGCGAGAUACGAAUGCUCCUCUUCCAUGGCAGCCAAGGGCUGCCAGAGAAUUUGCACAGCAAAGUGAAUACUACUUCUGUCGUGGUUUGCUGGAACAGAUCUAGAAAGAAAGAAGCCAGCAGUUACGUCAGUUUGAGGUUGCAGUUCAAAUGCCCUUUAGCUGGUCUGUAAAUGUGGAGACCCAAUGUGCAAGUGCCUCAGAGAGUAACACCUAUUCAUCAGCAGUCAGUCAAGGUUAUGUUUUACCAGAAGGAAAAAUCAUGCCAAACACUGUCUUCGUUGGUGGAAUUGAUUUAAGGAUGAAAGAGGCAGAAAUUCGGACUGUCUUUGAACAAUACGGUGCUGUGAAAGAGGUGAAAGUAAUCACUGACAGAACUGGUGUUUCGAAAGGAUAUGGAUUUGUAUCUUUCCUGGAGAAUGUGGAUGUUCAAAAAAUAGUAGAAACACAAAUCAACUUCCACGGCAAAAAGCUGAAACUGGGGCCAGCGAUUAGGAAGCAACAAAACCUGAAACAAGCUUCUUCCAUACAUCCCAGACCGUUUGUCCUUGGUCCUUCUCCACCACAGUUCCAUAGUGUAUGGGGUAGUCAGAAUACAGAGACGUAUUUUCAGCCUCCACCUAUAAUGAGCCCAGUAACACCGUAUGUUCAGCCAUAUCCAUACAGUUCAUCACCAACUGUACUGCUAAAGCAGCAAGUUCCCAUAGGAUAUCAACCGGCUUAUAACUAUCAGGGUCAACCACAGUGGGUUGCUGGGGAGCAAAGAAGUUAUGUUAUGCCUCCUGGUCUGGUUUAUGCAUCGGUAAACCAUCACGCUGAGGAUCCGGGAUUUAUACAGACGGAAUGUGCUGUUCCUGAGCCCAUGCACUUGCCUGCUAACAGCCCACAAAAGAAGUCUGUGGACAGGGGCAUGCAAACAGUAGUGUCCUGUCUGUCUAAUCCUGAGAACCAGCUGAGGAAUGACUCUCUGUCACAAGACGACAACAUAAAGGAGAGCAAAGUAUAUCACUUCCGAAAAGGAAGGACAGGAUUCAAAAGUGUUUGAUGAAUGAAGACUUCGGAGUAUCUAAAUUAAUUAAGUCGAUGUUACUACAGUUCAGCAAUACAUUCAGCAUAAUAUUUCUCAUAGUUGCUUCAAGUUAAGUUUGUGUUCAUGUUCGACCUGUUUUGAUACAGUUCCUGCUUGGGUAGUUUGAAGUUUAAAGUUGUAAGAGUUGACAAACUUCAGUUACAUUGUUUGCAUGCUUCCCCAGUUUGUUUGCUGCAUGUGGAUUUUCUUCUGAGUUUUAACGUACACUUUACAUAUUACACAGGUUUGCUUUAACCACAAUUUGACUCACCCUGACCAGUUAAUUUUUGCAGUUUAAAAAUGGAAAUAGUUAUUUACCCAAGAGAUUGUAUUUUAAAACUGAGUUCUUAAAUCAGGGCAAAAGAAGAUAUAACUGAGCUGAAGCCCUUCUUAAGUCCUAGUUGCCUUUAGACAACAUAAUCAAUGUGAUUAUGUUCAUUACUGACACUUCAUGUACCUGCAGUCUUGAGCAUCAGUAUUGGUUUUGGUUGAUUUGGUUGCCCUGGGCUGUAUUUAAAGCUUUAUGCUGGAGCUAUAAGAAGACACAGAAAUGUGUAUGUGUAGCUCUCAUUGAAGAAUCUCAACACCAAAAGAAGACAUAAACCUCAAGAUACCUACACAGAGUGCACAUUUUCUGUUUAUUUGACCAAGUUUUACUCCCAGGACCAUCUGGUAUUUGUGUGCUAAACCAAGAUGAAUUGUGUCUUAACAUGAAGGUGAUCUGAUCCUCGAUUGCUACAAAGAAAAUGGUUUUUCCUAAAAGUCCUCUAACAGGUUCCCUUUAGUGUUGGAAGGCCACAGUAAGGUCUCCCUGGAGUCUUGUCUUCUCCAGGCUGAACAAUCGCAGUGCUCUCAGGCUGUCUUCAUGGGAGAGGUGCUCCAGCCCUCAUGGCCCUCCUUUGGACCUGACCCAGCAGGUCUAUGUCUUUCCUGUGGUUGGUAUUCCAGGCUAAAGAACUCCAGCUCUCUCAGCUGCUCCUCAUCAGACUUGUGCUCGAGACCGUCACCUGCUUCCUUGCCCUUUUCUAGACAUGCCGUGGUGACUCAUUGUUUUUCUUGUCGUGAGGAAUCCAAAACAACACAGUAUCAAUAUGUGGCCUCACUAGAGCCCAGUAUGGGGACACAGUUGCUUCCCUUAUCUUUGUGAUAGAAACCAGGAUGCUCUUCCCACCUGGAAACACUGCUGGCUCAUGUUCAGCCCUGCCUCAGCUGCAGCCUGGCAGCCAGCUAAGAACUGAUGCGGAGCAGGGGAAUCCAACUGUUAAAGCAUCACGAAGGCCUGGGGCAGGUGCUGAUGCAAUGUGAUUUCUGCCCAGUGCUCUAAGUGUCAAGGCAAAGAAAUUCAAUAAAGCACAGGAAAAGGGUAGGAGUAAUCUACUACUCUGUUAAGAAGGGACUAUGAUUGCUAACUGGGCUGAGGUACAGAGGUUGUAUCUUUCUGUGGUCACAGUGGAUGCCCUUAGGGGUAACUGAGUUGAUCUUUGCUGUGUGGGAAUUACAGCUGCUCCUUCCCUAUCAGGGGCAUUUGGCAUUUGCUGCCCACUUGAUAAUAUCUCAAGUGAAACAAAUGGUGAUCAUGUCACAAGCCACCACGCCCUGACCCAUGGGAUGGAAAAGCUGGGUAGAGUGAGCAGCUUGGAGGAUAGUGCUGCUAAAACUGAUGCAACCCCCACAGGAUGGUCAGGCAUGCCAGAGUUGACCUCUGUGAGCUGCUGCCAUCAGGCUCCACGCUGGUUGCAGCCCAGAGGGUGUAGAGCCAGGUCAGACAUGUCAGUACCAGACCCUGAUGCAGGUGAUGGUUGGCCAUAGCCCCCUCUAUAGUGAAUUUGAUAGAUGCCAAACUGCCAAUUAUAACCUGCUGCACAGUGGGAACCAUACCAGUGACCACUGUGAUGAUGUCAGUACUAUCUAGGGGAAUUGCAGGCAUUGUCACAUAAUGUCAGUUUGGGGUUGUAUCAUGACGUGUCACAUAACACGUACCAUCAGUUUUGGACAAGAUUUUACCAAUUUUGACCAGGGUGGAUGGGCUACCUUAACCUGGAAAAGGGGCACACAGAAGUAUGUUUGAUACCUAGCCAAGUGCUUCAUCAUUAAUUGGUGACAUGCAUGCACUGUACCUAUCUACUAUCCAGCAAAACCACAGCCAAAGGAACGGGCUUGGAAUCAGUGGGGAAAGGAGCCUGUUGAGCUUGACUCUAGUCUGGCACUGUAAAGAAAGACAAGAGAUGUUGAAUAAGUGUUUGGCAGUGUGGGGUGACUGGCCCUCUGGAGUCAUGGCCAUUGGUGAAUUACCACUAUUGUUAGGAUUUUUCACUUACCUUUGGGGGGUGGAGUGGGGGUGUGAGCCCGGAGGGGGUUGAGUCCUGAAGGAGGCUCUCACUUCUAGCUGAGGACCAACUUCCCCGUUGGCAUGUCCUUUGCAGCCCCAGUGUCUCUGCAGCUAUAGCUCUAUGGGCUCUCUGAACUCUAAUGACAGCUUGAGGCUGAGGUGCCCAGCAUGAUGGGUGGCCCAGAUGGUCUUUUUCUGCCAUGCAGCUUUCCAUCCACUCUUCCUUAAGCCUGUAGUGUUUCGUGCAGUUUCUUGUGACCCAGUUGCAGGAUCCAGCACUUGGCCUUGUUGAAACUCCUAAAACUGGACCAUCAGUCCAGCCUUUCCAGAUCCGUCUGCAGGGCCUUCCUGCCCUCCAGCAGGUCAGCGCUUCUGCCCAACUUCAUGUCUUUUGCAACCCACUGAGGGUGCACUGAUCUCAUCUAGAUCAUUGGUAAAGAUAUUAGACAGGACUGGCCUCAAUACUGAGCUCUCGGGAGCUGACCAGCUGGAUGCAACUCCAUUCACCAACAUUUUCUGGGCCCAGCCAUCUUGAUGAUUUUUACCCAGCUAAAUGAGAUUGCUUGCUUGGUACUCCUGAUUCUACUUGCACUAGAAUAGAUAUCUUUAUACAUAGUUAAGCAGCUCGUUUACUGAAUUUCUUCUAAGGAAAUGGGUUGCAGAAAUAGGAUGUUUUGGUUUAACCCCAGCCAACAAUCAAGUACCACUUGCUGUCCCACCAGCAGGAUUGGGGAGAGAAUUAGGGUCUCAGCUAGAAAACUCGUGGAUUGAGAUAAAGAAAAGCAAAAGCCAUGCACACAGGCAAAACAGAACAAGGAAGGAAUUCACUGCUCCCUGUGGGCAGGCAGCUGUUCAGCCAUCUCCAGUGCAUAAUGGUUAUUGGGCAGACAAACACCAUCACUCCAAAUGUUCCCCCCUUCCUCCUCCUUCCCUCUCCACUUUUUAUACUGAGCAUGAUGUAACAUGGUAUGGAAUAUGCCCUUGGUCAGUUGGUGUCACAGCUGUGUCUCCUUCCAACCUCACGUGCACCCUCAGUCUCUCUGCUAGCAUGGCAGUAUGAGAAGCAUAAAAAGCCUUGGCUCUGUGUAAGCCCUGCUCACCAAUAACAAAAACAUCUCUAUAUUAUCAACAUUGUGUUCAGCACAAAUCCAAAACAUAUCCCCAUGGUAGCCACUGCAAAGAAAAUAACUACUUCAGCCCAAACCAGGACACAGAUCUUUAUUGAUAAGACGCUUCUUGUAAGUGCUAGACUUCAUCUGUUUUUGACAGUGAAAUAAGUCUGUCUGGUCUUUUUCUUUGAAUGUUACAGUAUUUAUAAAACCUGAAUUGUCAGUUGUGCUUAUCUCACUGUUGCACUAGAUAUCCCCUGACUUAGAAGACGGACAGACUCUGAAAUUACUUGUUUUCUUAGGUUGUCUUGGGUAGUUUAAUUAAUUAAAAGCGCAAAGUUAACAGGUUUUAAAAGCAGAUUUUUCAAAGUAAGAUAGAAUCAAUAGUGGUGGAGUUUCAGAAAUUAUAUUUUAGUGCUAUGUUGCCUGUUAGUAGACUGUGAAGUCUGGGCUGAUGAGCUUUGUUCUGCUGUGGUUUCUGGGGAACUCAGUAAGGUGCACAGCACUUCAGAACACCAGUCUGCCAGAAGAUGGGGAGCUGCUGUGCUGUGUGAUAGCUCACACCAAAGCCUGCUUUCUUACACUGACACAGGACCAAACAUGGCUACCGGGGUGAAGAAAGCUUGAAAGGGGAUUUUUUUACUUCUCCUACUACAUGUAACUUGAUUGUUCAGCUUUUAAAAACAGCGUUUUAGGCAGUUAAUUCCGUGCAGGAAUAUCUGGAAGAGGUUCAGAAGUCUUGAGCUGUUGAGUCAGUAGAUUGAAAUAAAACAUAAUCCUGGAACUGACACUUCAGCGAAUUCUUCUAUGUCCAGGGAAAGAACAUUUUCUAGGCUUCUGUGUAAACUCAAGGCCACUACAGAAACAUUUUAUGUCUCAGCACUACUGAGCAGUUGUCUACUGAUUCCAUUUCCCUCAGCUUGGGAGGGAUGAAUGUGAUGAAGCACAUCUGCUUCUAAAAUGGCCCUUAUUCAUGUUUUUUCAAAUUAUUAAGCAGGUCCUAACGUCAGUCACGUCAGCACUAACUGCAAGCAGAGCUCCUUCAACUGAAUGAGGUUUGGUUACUUAUUCUUUAAAAUAAGUUUUAAAACUGUUCUUCCGAAGAGCAUUUUCAAAUAAACAAGACUGAAAUAUUUUUGCAUUAUAAGCCCUGACUUCUGUCUCUUCUAGACUCUUUGAUGUGUUUUUGAGAAACCAUACCUGAACAUAACACAGUAUGGUGACUGAGCUGGGUGCAGAUGAAGGUGUAGGAAUUCUUACAGGCUAAAGAUACACGAGGAGUUCAUUGUUUUUGUAACAUUUCUUAUUCACAUUAUGCUUUGUAAUACUUCAGUGAGAUAAGUCUGGCUAGUAUCUGGUUUAUAACCGUCUCGGUUCUAUUUCUGCAUGUUAAUCUUCAUGCUGUGGUGGACCCAGCUGUGCAGUCCAUCUUCUAGCAGAAUGGUACCAGUUGCCAUGACAGCAGAGAGCUACCUACUGGUGACAGAAUAAUAGGCAUGUGACUUCUUUAGAAAGUGUCACACUGUCAUUUAGUCGUGAGCCAGCAGGUGGGGCAUGAAGCUAACAGAAGCCAAAUACUGUUAAUUUAAAAAACCUUUCUCUUGGGCAACACUACGGUCUGCCUUUUUACAAUAAAAGCUGUCCAUCGCAGAAUAUAGCAGUUCUUGUUGUAGACUAGUUAAUUUCUGGGUUAAAAAGUACAGCUGUAAGAAAUGCAGUGAGAGCACUUCGUAAGAUUGCCAAAGGUUGUGUUAUGAGUUGUCGUGGGUUUGGCAAAAAGGCAGGGUUUGUGAGCAGUUUUGACACUGGUUCCGAGUGUGUCAACAGGAUAGAACUGGGCACUCAUAGGGAAACAGGACUGGAAAGUUUAAACCACUGAUGUAUUCCAUAGCUGAAAAAUUUUUGUCAGCUUAUUCGUAACUCUUUUCAGUUCCUCUCUUUAUUUGUACAGUGCUUACAAAUAAAUCCUUAAAUGAACUUGACAGUAUUUCAAAAGGAUAUGAGUCAGAAAAGGCUUUGGUCCCCUGUUCUGCUUUCAGGUAAGUCUAGUUUAUUCUGCAAUCCCAAGAAUUUGAUAAAUACACAACAGUUAAAGCCCGUUAAGAGAUACUCAAAACUCAGUAUAUUCAGAAGGUACUCAUUUAGCUACCUUCUUUGUUCCCUUUUUUACAGAGGUGGGGUUAAAAUGAGUAAGAACAUGGACCACUUCUUUAAACUGGGUACUCAUUCCUGGUCUCUCUGUUCUUGUAAAUGGAACACAGUCACUGGCAAUGAAUGGGAACUCAGUGCUACCAGUGCUCAGUGUUACCUGCUGUUUUCAGUGUUUCCUAGGACCAGAUCCCUCUAGGUUGGUUGGAGGAGGAGAGUUGGUUAUCCAGCAGAAAUUGUAGAUAAUUUAAUUUUCUGUUGCUGUGUCUGCUUUCCCUAGGGAACUGUGAUCUCUAUGAAAUGUUUGCUUUCUUGGGUGACAUUUUCCAAUAUAAAUGACGUUUUAUGACAGUAUUAUGAAGCCAACAGUGAAUAGACUAAAAAAAAAAAGGUUCACUUACAUAUUCGCUUAUCUUGUUAUUAUAGAAACACCACUAAAGAAGUUAAAAAAUUAAAGUAGUAUUUUUGCCGAGUUUCUACAUUUAACAAUCUUAGUUAAUAAACAUAUAAACAUAUUAAAAAUAAACAAUCUUAGUUAAGAGCUUCUGUACAUGCCCAGAUCAAAUUUUGUCUAAUUCAUUAUUGUACAUCGUUAUUGGAAACCUGUCUCUAAAUGGAAGAGUAAAAGGGCAAGAAAACAGAUCCUUGAGAACACACUCAGCUUCUAGUAGGUUGUUUUGCUCAGGUUUUGAUCUUUUAUUCUUCCUUUUGGUAUAUAUUGAAGAGAAUACAAAGGCAGGCUGUACUAGAGUAUUUUGCCACAAUGUCAUAAAAUGCACAACAUUUGUUGUAUGACUCCAAUAUGUUUUGAUCCUUGCUUUACAGACUUAGUAAUGCUUUAACCUAAAUAGCAAUCCAUUAACUUGCAACAAAGCUGUUACUUAAAAAAAAAACCCAAUUAAAAAAUGAAAUUAUGAAGCAAAAUUCUUUCAUGGAUGAUUGGGAUUCUUUAACGGAUUUUUUGCCAUACUCAAUGUUCUGAAAAGAAUUUAAAUUCUGUAUAAAAAACCCAACCCUGUGAUGGAACUGCCUAAAAAGAAAGCAGUAGUAGAUAGUACUAUGUAUUUAUACCUAGAGUUUUCCAGAAGUACUCAUUGUCUGUUGUGAAUAUAGUAGUUUCAAGUACAGUGUACAUGCUGCCUAAGCAGCCAAAAAUAUUCCUGUAUGCAGAACUAGAAGCAGCUCCUGAGGCCACAGGACAACCUAAGUCAGGAAACUUCUCAUGUAUAUGAUGAGAUAUCGUCUGAAUAAGAUUGUUAUAAAAAAUGUAGGGGACAUACGUAGCCAAUGAUGAUUCCUGACGUCAUUUUGAAGCUUUGAGUUUUGGCAACAGGUCUGUUCCAAGCUACUAGAGUGGUCUCUUAAUCCAAGUGGCAGGGGUCCGUGUUUUGGCAGCAAAUGAUGUAUUAUCUCAAACCAGCCUGCUUGGCUUGUAACAUGCAGCUUCAGAAACUAUGAAAUUCAUGUUUCUGUGUCUGUUCCCUCACAUAUGUACAAGCUAAGGAUGACACAGAAUUGUAUUAUAGUACUGUUAGUUAUUUUGGAAAGAAUGCUUUUCAACUUGGAAAGCAAAUGUCUCAAACCUAAUUAGAAACAGAAUUCUGUCUUAGUUUAAGGACAGGAGCAGUUAAGGGGAUUGGCUGAGAUGCCCAUUAAGUGCCCCUGGCAAGGCUCUGUGGGAAACAGAGAGAAUCUCUGUCUUGCCUUACUCGAGAACAAAGUUUGAUUUACUUUCACCUGAAUUAAAUAACAUGGAGAGUUAAACUUCAGAGUCUUUUAACAUGUUAGGAAACUGAAGUUUGCAAACUAGAUUUUUAUGAUACUAAAUUUUAGGAGUCUUGUUAUCUGCUCUUUUAACCUGUGUGUUGCACUUCAUAUGUAGUAACAAAGAGGUGGAGCUAGUGGGGAAAAUGAAAUGCUGUAAUUAGUUACAAAUGCCAUUAGUUUUCUUACUGUAUUUGUUACUUAUAACAAGGAUAUAUUUUAAAAAACAUACUUAAUUGUAAGGUCAAGGAUGAAACUUAAUGGUUUUAUUUUUCAAAUACUGUUUCCCAGGUGCUUUGCAUGGCAGAGUAAGGUUUCUAAAGACUUGUAGCAGGUUUUUCACCUUACCAUCCCAGAAAAGUAAAAUAGUGCAGAAAAUACCAACCUUUGCAGUUGCAGAAAGUUGGUCAACUUAAAAUAUUUAUUUAUUAGUACAAGUGCACAGAUAACAUCAGACAAGUUCAUGUUUUGUGUCCAUAUGGAAACGCUGAUGAGUAUAGAGUCCACAUUUAUCUUAUUCGAAUGCUACUUGCUUUGUUAAUUCGUCAUGUGCUCAAGCACCUUCUCUUCAACACCAUUGGCUUUCUGUCUCUGGUGUCCCAAGGUUCUGAAUGCUGAAAUCACUUUCAAAAUCACUUCUAUAACGGAACUGCCUAGAACGGUAUGGUUUUACAGUUUUCAAAAUCUGAAACUAUUCUGUAGCUACUCCACUCAUGCGUUUCUCUUGAUAACUGAGUCUCUUCAGAGCAGGCUAUUCUUGUCCUGCCCUGUUACUUCUAGUUGGAUCUAGAGUAGAAAGUGCUCUUUGAUACUCAUUCUUUAUACUGCUUCUUAGGAGUCUGGGUUAGAUUGUGGUUCUUGUUCACUUUCUCUUUUGUCAAACUUCAUCUUAUUAGCUAUACUUGAUCCAGUUACACAACAAAGAUACCUGAAAAGGGCCUUACACUUUUUACUGGGGAGGGUGAAGCACUGUUUGAAUACUUCUAGGUCUGAGAAGUUUAAAGAAAACUUAGAGUAGAGUUGUUCAGGCCGCAGUGAUACUUCUGGUGUAUAAAAUAACGCACUUGGAAUACACAGUUCAUGUGCAACUUGUGUGAGAUCCUAAGUUUGCAGAAAGGAUGAAUUCAUUACAACUUACUUUUUCAUUAAUUUUCAGAUCUUUGCAUUAAGUACUGAAAUUCCUAGGACUGUAUCUAUUCAGAUGGUAACGAGCAAAUUCUUUCCACAAGUUAUUACAAACAAGGCUAGAAUCAGGUGUUCAUAACUUUAAGAUAGUGACCCAUUAGUCUUUUGUCUAAUCUAGUCCCUGUUUUGCCAUUGGAACAUAGCAGUCUAUAACUUCCUCAGGAGGGGAAGUGGAAGGACACACAGUGAUCUCUGUGGUGAUCAUUGAUAUGACCCAAGGGAAUGGCAUGAAGCUGUGUCAUGGGAGGUUUAGGUUGGAUGUUAGGAAAAGGUUUUUUAC